rnacentral:rRNA from 1 species
GAUGAACGCUGGCGGCGUGCCUAAUACAUGCAAGUCGAACGAAACUUCUUUAUCACCGAGUGCUUGCACUCACCGAUAAAGAGUUGAGUGGCGAACGGGUGAGUAACACGUGGGCAACCUGCCCAAAAGAGGGGGAUAACACUUGGAAACAGGUGCUAAUACCGCAUAACCAUAGUUACCGCAUGGUAACUAUGUAAAAGGUGGCUAUACUACCGCUUUUGGAUGGGCCCGCGGCGCAUUAGCUAGUUGGUAGGGUAAAGGCUUACCAAGGCAAUGAUGCGUAGCCGAAUUGAGAGGUUGAUCGGCCACAUUGGGACUGAGACACGGCCCAAACUCCUACGGGAGGCGGCAGUAGGGAAUCUUCCACAAUGGGCGAAAGCCUGAUGGAGCAACGCCGCGUGGGUGAAGAAGGUCUUCGGAUCGUAAAACCCUGUUGUUAGAGAAGAAAGUGCGUGAGAGUAACUGUUCACGUUUCGACGGUAUCUAACCAGAAAGCCACGGCUAACUACGUG